rnacentral:rRNA from 1 species
AGCGAACGCUGGCGGCAGGCCUAACACAUGCAAGUCGAACGAACUCUUCGGAGUUAGUGGCGGACGGGUGAGUAACACGUGGGAACGUGCCUUUUGGUUCGGAAUAACUCAGGGAAACUUGUGCUAAUACCGAAUGUGCCCUUCGGGGGAAAGAUUUAUCGCCAUUAGAGCGGCCCGCGUCUGAUUAGCUAGUUGGUGAGGUAACGGCUCACCAAGGCGACGAUCAGUAGCUGGUCUGAGAGGAUGACCAGCCACACUGGGAAUGAGACACGGCCCAGACUCCUACGGGAGGCAGCAGUGGGGAAUCUUGCGCAAUGGGCGAAAGCCUGACGCAGCCAUGCCGCGUGAAUGAUGAAGGUCUUAGGAUUGUAAAAUUCUUUCACCGGGGACGAUAAUGACGGGACCCGGAGAAGAAGCCCCGGCUAACUUCGUG